rnacentral:rRNA from 1 species
UACGGAGGGUGCGAGCGUUGUCCGGAAUCACUGGGCGUAAAGGGCGCGUAGGUGGCCCGUGGAAGUCUGCGGUGAAAGCCCGGCGCUCAACGCCGGGUCGGCCGUGGAUACUCUCGGGCUCGAGCUUACUAGAGGCAGAUGGAAUUCCGGGUGUAGCGGUGGAAUGCGUAGAGAUCCGGAAGAACACCGGUGGCGAAGGCGGUCUGCUGGGGUAAUGCUGGACACUGAUGCGCGACAGCGUGGGGACAAACAGG